rnacentral:rRNA from 1 species
GGUAAGUAGGGUGGAGGGGCGGGGGGGAUACGUGGGGUGCGAGCGUGAUCCGGAAUUAGUGGGCGUAAAGCGCGCGCAGGCGGUUUCUGAAGUCUGAUGUGAAAGCCCACGGCUCAACCGGGGAGGGUCAUUGGAAACUGGGAAACUUGAGUGCAGAAGAGGAAAGCGGAAUUCCACGUGUAGCGGUGAAAUGCGUAGAGAUGUGGAGGAACACCAGUGGCGAAGGCGGCUUUCUGGUCUGUAACUGACGCUGAGGCGCGAAAGCGUGGGGAGCAAACAGGAUUAGAUACCCUGGUAGUC